GAUGAACGCUGGCGGCGUGCUUAACACAUGCAAGUCGAACGAUGACCCCGUGCUUGCACGGGUGAUUAGUGGCGAACGGGUGAGUAACACGUGAGUAACCUGCCCCUGACUCUGGGAUAAGCCCGGGAAACUGGGUCUAAUACUGGAUAUGACCUUUAACCGCAUGGUUUUUGGUGGAAAGAUUUAUCGGUUGGGGAUGGACUCGCGGCCUAUCAGCUUGUUGGUGAGGUAAUGGCUCACCAAGGCGACGACGGGUAGCCGGCCUGAGAGGGUGACCGGCCACACUGGGACUGAGACACGGCCCAG
rnacentral:rRNA from 1 species